rnacentral:tRNA from 1 species
GGUUUCGUAGCUCAGUCGGAAGAGCAGCGGACUUCGUGAGCCGAUAUGUCGCAGGUUCGAUUCCUGCCGAAACCACCA